CUCAUAUUAAUGCAGGUGCACUUAGCGUGACCAGCUAUUUUAAACACAGGUUGUGGAGCAAAGCAUGGGUUAGGACCUAACUGAACUAAAUGUCCCAUUCCAGACAGGUCUUCCAACCAUUUGCGUUGUUUGAGUGUCAGGCUGGCUAUUGUUUAAAGAUGGAUAUCACAUGUAUAACAUCAAGCAAGACUCUAAUAAAUAAGGAAAUUUGAUGGUUAUGGUGCUUAUAAUGCCUUUUAAUGUAGUGUAAGGAGUUUAUUUUAGUGUAAACUGAGUAAUUUUACUAGAAAUGGUGUCAUCUACUGUCACUGCAGAUGUUUCAUAUAAAAUCAAUUUUGGAUGGCAAUGACAGCCUGUGAGCUUAGUUUAGGAACAAGGUAAGCGUGCUUGCUGUGUUGUCUUCCCUUCUCCAACGAGCUUUUUUCUUGCUCAGCCAGCAAUUUGGUAGACACAAGCACUGAGGGGAAAUCUAUGGUGCAUGCGCGGCAAGUGUCGCACACGCAUUAGGCUUCCCCCAUAGGAAAGCAUUGAAGACGCUCGGUGUACUCAGACACACAC